rnacentral:rRNA from 1 species
AUUGAACGCUGGCGGCAGGCUUAACACAUGCAAGUCGAGCGGUAACAGAGAGAAGCUUGCUUCUCUGCUGACGAGCGGCGGACGGGUGAGUAAUGCCUAGGAAUCUGCCUAGUAGUGGGGGAUAACUUGCCGAAAGGUAAGCUAAUACCGCAUACGUCCUACGGGAGAAAGGAGGGGACCUUCGGGCCUUUCGCUAUUAGAUGAGCCUAGGUCGGAUUAGUUAGUUGGUGAGGUAAUGGCUCACCAAGACCGCGAUCCGUAACUGGUCCGAGAGGAUGAUCAGUCACACUGGAACUGAGACACGGUCCAGACUCCUACGGGAGGCAGCAGUGGGGAAUAUUGGACAAUGGGGAGAACCCUGAUCCAGCCAUGCCGCGUGUGUGAAGAAGGUCUUAGGAUUGUAAAGCACUUUAAGUUGGGAGGAAGAGCAGUUAACUAAUAUUUGACUGUUUUGACGUUACCGACUGAAUAAGCACCGGCUAACUUCGUGCCAGCCGCCGCAGUAA